CGUGUAGGCGGCUCGCUAAGUCUCCGGUUAAAUCUCCCGGCUUAACCGGGAGGGUGCUUGAGAAACUGGCGGGCUUGAGGGCAGCAGAGGGGAGUGGAAUUCCCGGUGUAGUGGUGAUAUGCGUAGAUAUCGGGAGGAACACCAGUGGCGAAGGCGGCUCCCUGGGCUGUUCCUGACGCUGAGGCGCGAAAGCGUGGGGAGCAAACA
rnacentral:rRNA from 1 species